CCAUAUUUUAACAGAAUGAUGAUUUAGACAAUAACUAACAAGUGAUGGGGAAUGACAGAUUAUCUUUCCCAUGUUAUAUUAAUUACCUAAUUCUCGA